rnacentral:rRNA from 1 species
UUACUCCUACGGGGGGCAGCAGUGAGGAAUAUUGGUCAAUGGGCGGUAGCCUGAACCAGCCAAGUAGCGUGAAGGAUGAAGGUUCUAUGGAUUGUAAACCUCUGUUGUUAGGGAAGAACGACCUAAGUAGGAAAUGACUUAGGAGUGACGGUACCUUUCAAGAAAGCUCCGGCUAACUACGUGCCAGCAGCCGCGGUAAUACGUAGGGAGCGAGCGUUAUCCGGAUUUACUGGGUGUAAAGGGAGCGUAGACGGCUGUGCAAGUCUGAAGUGAAAGCCCAGGGCUCAACCCUGGGACUGCUUUGG